rnacentral:lncRNA from 1 species
AUUUGGUAUUAUGAACUUAGAGCACUUGGAAACUUUUGACAUUUUAUCCAUAUGAUGAUAUGAAUUUUUGUUUUAUUAGCUGAGAAUGACUCUGACAUAUCUAUGCUGCAUGUUUGGAAACCUGAAGAUGAUUCUAAUGGAGAAGGCAAGACUAAAGAUCUUAUUAAAGACUUGUCAUCUAUGUUGGUGAGAGCUCCUCAAAUAUCAAAAAAAGAAGUCGUCGUGAUAUUCAUCAACAUGACUGUACGGAGGAUAAUGGGAAAGGAUGGGAAAAAUGCUUAUGAAUUUAUUCCAACUAUGAGACCAAGUGAAGAGUUUUCUUGAAUUUGUCUAACCCUACGUGAUUGGCACUAAAAUUGUUGUAAAUUAUGUAGUAUUUUCAUUGCCGUUCAAAUUAAUAGUUAACUUUGCUUGUAAUGGAACUAUUGUACAUGGAAACAUUGUGCAAAAUAUUAUUUUUUGCACAUGCUUAGUGGUUUAAGAAAUUAAUGCAUGUCAGUUGGCG